rnacentral:rRNA from 1 species
CGUGGGUAACCUGCCCAAGAGAUCGGGAUAACACCUGGAAACAGAUGCUAAUACCGGAUAACAACAGAUGAUGCCUAUCAACUGUUUAAAAGAUGUUUCUGCUAUCACUCUUGGAUGGACCUGCGGUGCAUUAGCUAGUUGGUAGGGUAACGGCCUACCAAGGCGAUGAUGCAUAGCCGAGUUGAGAGACUGAUCGGCCACAUUGGGACUGAGACACGGCCCAAACUCCUACGGGAGGCAGCAGGC